CCUGCAGAGAGACGUCAGUGAUGAACAGCUGGUCUGUGAUGUUCUUCAUCAUUUACUGCUGCAGCUGGUCGUCAUUAGAUAAAUGCAGCUGAAGUCACACAGUCGAAUCCUGACCCAGCAGCGUCAGUCUGACCCGGUUCGCUCCUUUCGUUAAUUAUUUAUUAUCUAUUCCUAAUUCAUAUUUUUACUGAAAAAUCUGCAUUUUCUCUCACUAGCCUCCAGGUGAUGUGACCCAGUGACGUCAGAACAAAGACGACCUGAGGUUUGCUUCCAUCGAUUCAAACAGUAGAAGCAGAAUCGAUCACAUGACCUUGAGGCUUCUGAGAAACACUUCCACCUUCUUUACUCAUACACAAUCCAUAGGUUCGAGGAGACAGGGUUAAUAAGCUGAAACCCUACAACGGUCACAUUUUACCCACCGGACCUGCAGCGGGCCUGUGAUAACUGACUGCUGACGCUUUGACAACGAUGAACGAGCCAACACGUGAAGUGACAAAUACAAGUUGAAGUUACCCUAAACUCGGCCGACCGGAACCGGAAACGAUGCUCUUCUUCUUCUACGGUUCAUCUGCCCGUGUCAGUCUAACAAGAGAUAAGCACUGCGCUUCCCGCUGGACCGGAGGACAGUGACGUGUCAGGAAAUUAAAGACACUUUAUUGUAGCUUACAAAUGACGUCACGUGUUUGUUAAUAACUCCAACACUGAUUCUUCUUGAUGUAAAUAUACUUAUGGAUCUGGAAUCGA